GCGCCCUCGCCGCGGGUGAAGGAGAAGUACAUCGAGGCUAAGAAGAACAUCUCGGUGUCGGUGACGCGGUCGAGGCGGAGGGCAUAGUUCUCCUCGUCGGCGCCGCCGGAGAGGGUAUGGAGGCGCUGGAGGACGCGCUUCCGCAUCUUCUGGUGGGCGUCUUCCAGGAGGAGGGCGCCGGGGCGGCGGCGGCGGUGGGGGUCGUCGGAGUCGCGGGGCUCGCG
rnacentral:misc_RNA from 1 species